UUCAUCUUCACAAAUGAGUUUUCAGCUUUUCUUUUACCAUCAACUACCAAAAAUCCACCAUCAGGCUGCUUGAUGCUUCCAUAAACAAUGACACACUCUGCAUCCCUUCCUCAUCUCCUCCUCUUUUCAAAUCCAUGGAUCCUUACUAUAGUUACUAUUCGCUCUAUAAUGAUCGGUUAACUUAAUUAUCUGCCCCGAUCCAUUACAUAAUUCUUCCCUCUUUACAGACAUCACUCCAUACUGCGCCUCGUAUUCAUCCCAUCCCGAAUUAAGAUACGUAAAGGUCGGGCGCCUCAAGGCCUCAGAGGUGCCACAGACAUGUGGAUUGGAUCUAAUAGUGAUGACAUCGUGGCCGGGAUUCGAGUACUCGAAGAAGAAUGUUUCAUUUGAAGAAAUUCAGCAAUGAGUCUUGUAUGGAUUUGAACUCUCCUUCUGUCCUGAGUGCAGUGAACAAGUCAUAAUAUGGAGGAAACUUUUAUAUAAGUUAUUAGGACCACCUACACGAGUUUUCCUAAUUCCUCUGGCCAUUCUAGGUUAUUUUUCUUUGUCAUUUAUCGAUAUUCUCAGGAUUUGUUAAUAAUGGCUAUAAGAUUAUGAUACGCUCGA